rnacentral:rRNA from 1 species
UACGUAGGGUGCAAGCGUUGUCCGGAAUUAUUGGGCGUAAAGAGCUCGUAGGCGGUUCGUCGCGUCGGCUGUGAAAUCCCGAGGCUCAACCUCGGGUCUGCAGUCGAUACGGGCGGACUUGAGUACUGCAGGGGAGACUGGAAUUCCUGGUGUAGCGGUGAAAUGCGCAGAUAUCAGGAGGAACACCGGUGGCGAAGGCGGGUCUCUGGGCAGUAACUGACGCUGAGGAGCGAAAGCGUGGGGAGCGAACAGG